rnacentral:rRNA from 1 species
GACGAACGCUGGCGGCGUGCCUAAUACAUGCAAGUUGGGCGCUGAAGGUUGGUACUUGUACCAACUGGAUGAGCAGCGAACGGGUGAGUAACGCGUGGGGAAUCUGCCUUUGAGCGGGGGACAACAUUUGGAAACGAAUGCUAAUACCGCAUAAAAACUUUAAACACAAGUUUUAAGUUUGAAAGAUGCAAUUGCAUCACUCAAAGAUGAUCCCGCGUUGUAUUAGCUAGUUGGUGAGGUAAAGGCUCACCAAGGCGAUGAUACAUAGCCGACCUGAGAGGGUGAUCGGCCACAUUGGGACUGAGACACGGCCCAAACUCCUACGGGAGGCAGCAGUAGGGAAUCUUCGGCAAUAGACGAAAGUCUGACCGAGCAACGCCGCGUGAGUGAAGAAGGUUGUCGGAUCGUAAAACUCUGUUGGUAGAGAAGAACGUUGGUGAGAGUGGAAAGCUCAUCAAGUGACGGUAACUACCCAGAAAGGGACGGCUAACUACGUG